rnacentral:lncRNA from 7 species
GAGAAAACCAAUUUCUCCAUUUGUUCUCCCUUACAAUUUGGGUAUUACAGAUUACUUAUAGGAGCUCACUGGGGCAGCAAUUUAUAGGUUCUAUUGGCGGUAGCGGCUAAUUUUGAGAAGACGCGCGACAGCCAGAGAGAGGGGAGGUCACUAGCGCAAGGGAUGUGUGGCUUUCACCGUGGCAAGAUUACCAGCGACGAACCAGCUACCUAAAGCGGCUUACUACGACGUGGUAAAGCUUCAAGGUAUGUGGCCAUCGUGCGGCAGGUGGCCAACUCUGGCGAGGCUAUCUGGACUGGCCGUGAGGCAAGUGGGUACGGUGGCCAACCCCUGGUCUCAUCCAUGGUGAAGAUCUUUUCACCUCGAUGCGUUAUCCGGGCACCAAUGGGCACGAAUCGCAUCGCCGGCGCGAAUCAAGGCGCGGGGGUCACCGGCGGCAAGGUGCACUGCACCUGCAAUCUCAUUCAGUUCACUGUACCAUGAGAAACCCUAUUAGGACGCCUUACAGAGUGGAUUGCAGUGCCCAGAUCUCCAAUUUUCAUGUGAUAACUUGCUAAUCCACCUUUAACAAAGUUGUUGUCCUAUGAUCCAGCUUUAAUCUUGCUAUAGCAACAAUACUUCAAUUCUCAAUAAAUCAUACUCAAAAUAGCUCCCAAACUUGGUCCUAGUUCAUUGUCAGUCCAGUUUCAGAGUUGUACCCGAUUGACAGACAAACUUCAGGUCUGUUUUUCUU